GAUGAAGAACGUAGCGAAAUGCGAUAAGUAGUGUGAAUUGCAGAAUUCAGUGAAUCAUCGAAUCUUUGAACGCACAUUGCGCCCCUUGGUAUCCCGAGGGGCAUGCCUGUUCGAGCGUCAUUUCACCACUCAAGCCUGGCUUGGUGUUGGGCGACGUCCUCUUUGGGGACGCGCCUCGAAACGCUCGGCGGCGUGGCACCGGCUUUAAGCGUAGCAGAAUCUUUCGCUUUGGAAGUCGGGGCCCCGUCUGCCGGAAGACCUGCUCGCAAGGUUGACCUCGGAUCAGGCAGGGAUACCCGCUGAACUUAAGCAUGUCAAUAAGCGGAGGA
rnacentral:misc_RNA from 1 species